rnacentral:rRNA from 1 species
AGCGAACGCUGGCGGCGUGCCUAACACAUGCAAGUCGAGCGAGAAGGUGUAGCAAUACACUUGUAAAGCGGCGAACGAGUGAGGAAUGCAUGGGUAACCUACCCUCGAGUGGGGAAUAACUAGCCGAAAGGUUAGCUAAUACCGCAUACGUUUCCGGAACUUCGGUUUCGGAAAGAAAGCAAUACCGUGGGUAUUGCGCUCCUGGAUGGGCUCAUGUCCUAUCAGCUUGUUGGUGAGGUAACGGCUCACCAAGGCUUCGACGGGUAGCUGGUCUGAGAGGACGAUCAGCCACACUGGCACUGCGACACGGGCCAGACUCCUACGGGAGGCAGCAGUAAGGAAUAUUGCGCAAUGGACGAAAGUCUGACGCAGCGACGCCGCGUGGGGGAUGAAGGUCUUCGGAUUGUAAACCCCUUUCGGGAGGGAAGAUGGAGUGGGUAACCACUUGGACGGUACCUCCAGAAGCAGCCACGGCUAACUUCGUGCCAGCAGCCGCGGUAAU